AUCGACAGUGUUUAAGAGUGAGUGUUUAGUGCCUCGUCGCUUUAUUCUUUGCAAAAUUUUCGUUUCAAAUCCGAUUGCUGUCUGUUUGUUACAACUUUGGCUAAUAAACAUUUUUUCCAAGCCUAAAA